ACAAGCCACCCUAUCUAAAUUGAACCCUGCCACAGUAGCUCUUACUGAUGAGAAAACCUUUUUCACCAGGACAGGAGACCAUAUGCAAUCUUGAUUACUAAGCAGCAGAGGAUAAAAUACAGUAGAUAAUUCUACUUGCAUGGGGCAGGAAGUACAGGAACACAAAAGAAUGUACCAUAGCUUAUAAUGGACAAUUAAUCAUUCUCUAUAUGCGUAUUUAACGACUCAGCUACAUGCAGACAUCUGAAUAAAGCCUGAACCAUCAACAAAUGACACUCCAGGAAACCUACUGUAUUCAGCCCAAUGUGACAAGAAAUAUUUAUCAGAAAAUAAGUAAGUAGCCAGCGUAAACUCAGGUAAAUAACAAGGAUGAAGAAACAAUGAGAGGUUGUGAUGACCCCACCAAAUAUGAUCCGGGUAAAGAAAGAAAGUCCCUGUCAAAUUUAAGGAUUAAUAGUUUUCUUAUUGUUAAUAAGUAGAUAAUCAAGUUAUAAAUUUAGGGUGUAAUACCGAAUCUUGUGUUUGGUCAUGGAACAUUAUUACUCGUUGUUAUGUAGCGAAUCAGAGGAGGGGGUGUUGAUAAAAAUGUGGUGUCAACUUAGGCAUAAAAGCAUACUGAAACUUAAGUCUUUG